CUACGGGGUGCAGCAGGUGCGAAAACUUUACAAUGCGGGAAACCGUGAUAAGGGAAUCUCGAGUGCCAGCAUAUAAUGUUGGCUGUCCAGAUGCCUAAAAAGCAUCUGUUAGCAAGGGCCGGCAAGACCGGUGCCAGCCGCCGCGGUAACACCGGCGGCCCGAGUGGUAACCGUUUUUAUUGGGUCUAAAGGGUCUGUAGCCGGCCAUGUAAGUCCCUUGGGAAAUCUGGCAGCUCAACUGUCAGGCUGCUAGGGGAUACUGCUUGGCUUGGGACCGGGAGAGGUGAGAGGUACCUUGGGGGUAGGGGUGAAAUCUUGUGAUCCUCGAAGGACCACCAGUGGCGAAGGCGUCUCACCAGAACGGGUCCGACGGUAAGGGACGAAAGCUAGGGGCACGAACCGGAUUAGAUACCCGGGUAGUCCUAGCCGUAAACGAUGCUCGCUAGGUGUCAGUCACGGUGCGACCGUGAUUGGUGCCGUAGGGAAGCCGUGAAGCGAGCCACCUGGGAAGUACGGCCGCAAGGCUGAAACUUAAAGGAAUUGGCGGGGGAGCACUACAACGGGUGGAGCCUGCGGUUUAAUUGGAUUCAACGCCGGAAAACUCACCGGGGG
rnacentral:rRNA from 1 species